GUAUUUCAGAAGACCAACAAAGCGCUGAUAUGCAAUACUUCUUUCAAUUCUAUUCCUUCCAAGCGGGUCUUAGAUACACCUUGUGACAUUCUGAAAAAAAAGACUAGCUACGCCCAUGACAAUAAAGCUGCACUGUAGAAUUAUGGGCUGUAAAGACAGGUAUAUAAAUGUAUUGUGCUACUCCGGGUAUAUUGGCAGUGUUGUGUAUUGGAGCUUCAUUUAAGUUAAAGGAAUAUCGAUUUAAUUAACAGACGCAUUAUAUUUGGUUGAAACAAUACACCAACAUAAUGGGGACAUCUUCAAGUAAGCCAUCACAUCCAGAAUUCAACAUUGCAAUAACGGGUAAUUCUGGGGUAGGCAAGUCGUCACUCGUAAACAGCUUAAGAGGUCUAAAAGCAAAAUGCGAAGAAGCGGCUGCAGUUGGUGUUAAUGAAACGACCGAAGUGCCAAUGAAAUAUACACAUCCUUAUAACGAUAACAUUGUUUUGUGGGAUCUGCCUGGAGUAGGUACACAGAAAUUUCCUAAAAGUACAUAUUUAAAAGACGUUGGGUUUGAAAAGUUUGACCUUUUUCUUAUCAUUACAGCCACUAGAUUCACAGAAAAUGAUUUGUGGUUAGCAAAUGAAGUGAAAAGGCUCAAGAAAAAAUUCUUUUUCAUACGAACAAAAAUUGAUAUCGAUGUAAGAAAUGACAAUCAUGAAAAUCCUGAAAUAUGCAAAGCUGAGACCGUCUCUAAAAUACGAAGAGCAAUGACUACACAUGUUGAAAAUGGAGGUUUUGCAUUUGUCAAAGUGUUUCUAAUCGACAGUCACUUUCCACAAGCUUACGAUUUUCCUUUGCUCAUCAGUGCGUUAUUGAGUCCUUUCUUUUUUUGAUCUCCUUGGCUAAUUUCGCUUAAUAAAAGUAAUUGUUUAGGUCACACAACUGUCAAAAUCAUGACAGUACAAGCAUACAUAUGAACAUUACUAAAGUGAGGAAUAACUCCAACAAUCUUAAUUCGAGAAUCAACUGCUUUGUAUAGAAAUUCUAUAAUCACAUCUUCAAAAACAAUUGGAACAAUUAGUUGUCACUCUGUCAUUCCUCAAGAUUCGUGUCUUUAUCUAUCAUAUUCGUAUUUUAGUGCUUGUCUAACAACUGUUUGAAUUGAAUUAUUUGGGUUUUUUGCACUUUGUAAUAAAGCCAAAGAACAUAUUUUGAUAAAGAUAUCUUAACCUUUUAAUAUUUGUACAACUAUAUAUAUAACUAACAAAUUUAUGCGUUUUGUAAAAAAGAAAAUAAAGGGAAAAGAGAAAAAUCAUUGACGUCAAAAGCUACAAGGAUAGAUCAAAAAGUAUUUGGCCCGAUGUACUUCCGGUAGUCAGAGAACCCAACUAAUAGUCUUACUUUUCAAUAUAAUCGCCCUCUAUAUCAAUGCACUUCGCCCAACUGUGCUCCAACUUGUUUAACCCUUCAAAAUAUAACUCUUUAUUUUGGUCUACAAAGAAAUCAUUGACCGCCUCCAUGACACCUUCAUUGCUUCCAAAACGUCUACCACGAAGCUUGGUUAUCAGUUUCGGAAACAAUAAAAGUCAGAGUGGGUCAUGUCCGGAGAAAAUUGGGGAAGGGGAAGGAUUUAUAGGCCGCAGUCAGUUGCAGCAGCCAUCGCAGCUUGGGAUGGCUGAACUGGCGCAUGCCCGGCAGGAGCAGCACGUUUUGAGUCAGUUUGCCCCUCCUUUUACGCGCAAUUUCUUGACGCAGACUUCUCAAUUUGUCUGCACAGUACGUACCGACCUUGCUCAAGAUAGACAAUAAUGAUUAUCCUCUUACUAUCCCAACACAUUGAAGACAUUGAUCGAUCCUAUACGACCCUGUAGAUAAAAUCAGGUUAAUCCUCGUUGCAAGACAAAAUAUAUCUUGAAAUGUCAAGCCUAGUCCGUUUUUGGUCGUCAGUCAUCUGUCUGGGGACCCAUCUAGCGGAAAUGUUUGGCAUGCAAUAGACAUCAGUCAGAAUUGCUUUAAUUGAACCAAGUUUAUGCCCACUUCCCUAGCAAUGCUUCACAGGUCUCGCCUUCUGUCGCUCUCCCUGCCCCUCUUUAAUUUAGCAGCCAAUGUUUUCACAGUGCUAUAGGAAGGGGACUCCUUCCUAAGUUUAUCCAUGAAGUCUUCAUGGAUUUCCCUGGGGGACAUCCCUUUCUUUCAAAGGUAGUUAAUGACGGCUCUGAUUUCAAUUUCUCUACUUGGUGUAAAUGACACACCUCUCUACUAAUCACAUUGUGUUUACUUAAUCUGUGUAAAGCCGCUGUAACUCGGUCCGUAAUUUUCAUUAAGAUAUUGGUAUCGACGUAUCGUGUGUAAAUGUCAGUGUAGUGGCUUGAAGUAUACCGGGCCGAGAACUUAUUGCUCUUUUGCGGUUUUACAUUACAUUUUUCCCCGCAUAUUAAUUACGAAUACGAAAAAUAACAAAGAUUGGACGCACGGCUCAUUCACUCACAAACAGUCUCAAUUUUAAGUUUAAAAAAAACUGUGAAAAAAGUUCACAAUUCUAUUUUACUUGUAUUGUAUAAACUGCUUCUCAUGGGCUCACCUUUUAGAAAAAAAUAUUGAGAUGUAAGUGGACAUAGUUCUAGGUUAGAGUCUUAAAAACAGACAGAAAUGUUUUUAAAAAAUGCGAUUCCUCGACUCAGAUCUUGAGUGUAUACGUCUCAAUCUAUCUAAAAACAACUCCUAAAAAACGCUACGCAUUAGGACCUGACAUUCACCCAUAGGUAGUCUACCACCUUCUCGUGGUAUAUAAAACAACCAAUCAUUGGCGAGCUUUCAUUAUUUUGAAAGCGAUGCGGUUUCUAAAUUAACCUUUGGAAAAUUAAUACUGAGAAGGUUAUUUUCACAAUUUCGAGAACAAACAUGGCUUUGUCCAUAUCGCGGACAGGUAAACUGGCAAAACAAUUUUGCCCAUUAAAAUCUUUAUUUCAAAUUCAUUUUUUAAAAUUUACAUCUUUUGUUACAAAAAUCAUCUUUUAACUCUAACGGGAGACUGUAUUUUGAUAAUUCUUUAAAUGCCGGUUUGAUUGCAUGGCUAAAAAAGCUUUCUCGGGAACUCCGAAUUAUAAAGAAAGAGAAGCAUAUACGGUGGCCAUCAGACUUACAUGGAAGAUAUAAGUAGAUCUGAACUUUAGUCAAAUUGGUAUAUGUCUAAAUGUCACGUAACUCGUCUGAUUUACCAAAAGACUUGUGUUAUGAGAAAUGGACAAAAAUCAUAACUUACAUUAGAGUGUUAACCUUAAAACGUGUUUUUUUCUUCUAGGAGAAUGAUAUUCCAUAUGUUAUUUUGUCUACAUGAACAUAUAGAAUAUCACGACUGAUCAGUUCAUCCAUGGUCUGACCACGGGUGAUAUAUUUUCUUUAAGAUAAUUAUUAAUUUGCGCAUUAGUGCCACAAUUUACAACACUCGGUGCUUUAUUGUCAAGAUAUUGUAUUAUUAUUUUUAAUGGAAGGUCAGUGGGCAAAAUCUUACUUUUAUAAUGUAAAGUAUUCUUGUAAUGUUGCGUUAUUUUUAUCAGUAGGACCUAACUAUCGAUUAUAUACGUAUAAUGAUACUACCAGUAUAUAGUCUCUUAUAAUGCUAUUGUAGAAUGGUAAUAUGUACAUUUAUAUCAAUUUAAAUAUGUCCUAUGUAUAUAUGUGAGCAUAUAAAAAAGACUGAAAUAAACUAAUAAACUAUAAAUCUCAUAUUUAAAGUGUUAUUCCUACAAACAACUAUUUGUAAAACAAGCGUUCAUGUUACCGCUAACUGUCAGAUAUCGUUAUAACU